rnacentral:rRNA from 1 species
UACGUAGGUGGCGAGCGUUGUCCGGAAUUACUGGGCGUAAAGCGUGCGCAGGCGGUCUUGCAAGACGGGUGUGAAAUCCCCGGGCUUAACCUGGGAACUGCACUUGUGACUGCAAGGCUGGAGUACGGCAGAGGGGGAUGGAAUUCCGCGUGUAGCAGUGAAAUGCGUAGAUAUGCGGAGGAACACCGAUGGCGAAGGCAAUCCCCUGGGCCUGUACUGACGCUCAUGCACGAAAGCGUGGGGAGCAAACAGG